UUUUUUUCAGAUGGAGUCUCACUGUGUCACCCAGGCUGGAGUGCAGUGGCAUGAUCUCAGCUCACUGCAACUGCCACCUCCUGAGUUCAAGCGAUUCUUCUGCCUCAGCCUCCCGAGCAGCUGGGACUACAGAUCGAGAUUUUCUUAAUGGACCAGAGCAACAUUGGAUUUGGAUUUUUUUUUUUUUUGAGUUUAUUGGAAACUUUUCAACCAAGCUGCUAAGGAGAGGGAAGCACACAAGCAAGGCCACUGCCAAACUCUGGAGAAAAGGAAGAAAUCAGUGUGUCUGUGAGUACAUCAGAAUCUUCACAAGACAGGCAGGCAACUGAUCUGGGAAUGAGGAAGCCUGCCUCCUAACAUGUUCUUGGCUCUACCACUAACUAGCUGUGUGACCUUGGCCAAGCUCCUUUCAUUUCCUGAGCCAAGCUUCUCACUUCUAAAAUGUAUGGAAUCAGAGCUCUGGUAGCCCAUAGAUGUGAUUUAUUUGAUUCACAUAGCACUUGCCCUUCCUUUUUUCCUUUCUUCUUGCUUUGAAUCAAAUAAUCUUGAACAUUAAACCAGCCCCUCGUGAGAAAUUAGAUCUGCCGAUUCAGUGCCUGGGUACUCACAUGGCAAAAGCAACUGAAACUCAGUGGUGCUGUCCCUUUUACAUGGGGCAGAAACUCUCUUGAUUGCCACAGUACCCUCUGGGUCCCCUUCAGCAUUCAUGUCUCUGACCUUAGUAAGCACUUGGUUUUGCGACCUAAGGGAUUUUAAGCUUUGAGAUCAUUAUGAUGCCUUCCUUUCAUCUCAAUAAGCCUGUAAUUCUCAAUGGGCAAACCAAUAAUUAUAUCUUAUUUACAUUACCAUUUCAGCAGCCAGGCAAAUGAGCUGGAAAACCUUAGAACAAGACCAGACUUAAUUAACAUAACCAGAAAUUAUUUCUUCCCCAGAUUUUCCUUGUAGGUGGCAGAAUUUCUAUACCAUGUAUCUUUCUACAUCCUUCUUUGGAAAUGCUGGCUUUCCCUUUUAACUAUCAUAUCCUCGUAACCAGAUGAUGUACUUAAAAAAACUGGCCUCCUGCCCUCCUUUAAAACUGGUUCUUCUUUUGAACUGCCAACAUAUGCAACUUUAAAACUCACAAUGCCAUUGCUUGAAAAUUUAACCACCUCCAGCUCACAUAAGUCCUAAAAUGAUCUCCUAAUCCUUUGGGAAAAAAGUAAAGAGAUCAAUAAGAUUUUCUUUUUUUCCUCACUCCACUUCCCAUGUAUUACUGUACAUCCUCCCCCAGUUUUCAUCUCAAUGCACUUGCUCGCUUUCCUUUUCCUUAUUUUCCUUCCUUUUACUCCUACACACCUCCCCUUCUCCAUGACUGUGGCCUGUCUGCCUCUACUCGGUCCAUUUUGCCUUCUCAUCUCCCUUAAUGACAGAGGACAGAAAGGAAACAAAAAAACAUUUACAUGGAACCUGCUUUCAAAUAGUUUUUUUAUGUUAAGUUCAGUGUCACAGGGAUAUUUAACUUGUUUUAAAUUUGUGUGUGUGUGUGUAUGUUUUAACCAAACAAUGCUCUCUGCAACAUUAUAGUUUUAAGUGAAAUUGAAGUUACAAAAAGUGUUGCUGAAGGUAAGAAGUUUUCUGUUAACAUUUUUCAAAUACACCUAUGGAAGGAAUCUUGGAGACUAUGAUGAAAAGAUUUUCUUAGUGUUUAGGGCUGAUAAUCUUAUGGGAGCUCCUAGUUUGUUUAAUUGCAUUUGUGCUCACAUUCUCUAAAUGACUGACAUUCCUUUGUUUUUGAACAGUGAUUCUUUGAAGCAUUGUAAAAAUCAACCAUUUCCCCUUGUCAGGUAAAUUACUAUUUUCUAUGUUGCUCUUUAUUUUAAUGCAUAGGACUUAUGCAUUAGGGAAAGAAGUCUAUUUUCUGCAAAGGAAAAGAAGCCUAUUUGGGUGUUAUGAAUAAAAAAGCACGAUGAAUGCUGAUCUUAUUGUUUCUACUUUGAUGUUAGCAGAGGUUAAUUUUAGGGUGGAGACAUUCUUUUUGUUGGAACAAGUGUUGAUUUCUGUAGGUGCUGAUAGUGUGUCCCCAGUGCCAUGGCUCAGUGGGAAAGGGUUAUGUUUUCAUAUAUCAAAGGGAUAACAAAGUAGAUGUGGGUCUCCAGGCAGCAUUUAAUCUGGAAUGAUGUAAGGCUGUCUACAGCAAUUCUGGUUUGCGAUCAGGGUCAGAGCUUCCAUUUUGCUCUCAUGCAGAUUCUACCCAUCAGACAAAACAAAUAAAAAACAAAACCAUUUUCACAAACCUCUCUCCCCCAAGCAGAAGAUGUUAUUUUUCAUUGGCUUGUUUCUUGAUAAGUUACAAAUCUAAUUAUAUUGACUUAUAGCUUUACCUUAUAUGGAGAGAUAAAUUUAACAAACCUUACUAGAUCUCCCAACCAGUGCAAAGUGACAAUUAAUUUGUGGUGUGUCAAGAGAAAAAAAAUGCUUGCAUAUUUUUUAAAAUUUGGAAAGGCACUAUCAUGAAGUAGUAAGGGCCUAGGUUCUAGAGCCAAAUGCCUUUGAUUUGAAUAUUGGGAUCAUUUUUGGUUUUAAUAUGGUUCAGUCACUUAUGAAAUGUGUAAUCUUGACUAAGGAACCUGUCCUCUGUGGGUAUCAGCUUUCUAACUUGUAAAAUACGGAUAAUACUACAUUUAUAUUUCAUAGGUUUACUGUAACGAUUAAAUGUGCUAAUUUCACCCCACUGACAAUAUAAGAUAGAUUAUUGAGACAGAAAAUUAAUAAAGAUAUUCAGGAUCUGAACUCAGGUCUGGAUAAAGCAGACCACCAAAAACAACAGAAUAUACAUUCUUCUCAUCAGUACAUGGCACUAACUCUAAAAUUGAUCACAUAAUUCGUAGCAAAAUACUCCUCAGCAAAUGCAAAAUGCAAAACAACACAAAUUAGAACUCAAGAUUAAGAAACUCACUCAAAACCACACAACUACAUGAAAACAACCUGUGCUUGAAUGAAUUCUAGGUAAAUAAUGAAAUUAAGGCAGAAAUAAAGAAGUUCUUUGAAACUAAGAGACAAAGAGACAAUGUGCCAGAAUCUCUGGGACACAGCUAAAGCAGUGUUAAGAGAGAAAUUUAUAGCAUUAAAUGCUCACAUCAAAAGCUAGAAAGAUCUCAAAUCAACAACAUAACAUCUCAACUAAAAGAACCAGAGAAGCAAGAGCAAACAAACCACAAGGCUAGUAGAAGACAAGAAAUAACCAAUAUUAGAGUGGAACUGAAGGAGAGAGAGAUAUAAAAAACUGUUCAAAAGAUGAAUGACUCUAAGGGCUGUUUUAUGGAAAAAAAUUAAUAAAAGAGACCACUAGCUAGACUAACAAAGAAGAAAAGAGAGAAGAAUCAAAUAGACAUAAUCAGAAAUGAUAAGGGGGACAUCACUACUGACACCAGAGAAAUACAAACAACCAUCAGAGAAUACUAUAAACAACUCUAUGCACAAAAACUAGAAAAUCUAGAAGAAAUCGAUAAAUUCCUGGACACAUACACCCUCCCAAGAUUAAACCAGGAAGAAAUUGAAUCCCCGAAUAGACCAAUAAUGAGUUCUGAAAUUGAGGCAGUAAUAAAUAGGCUACCAACCAAAAAAAGCUCAAGACCAUACAAAUUUACAGCUCAAAUCUACAAGAGGUAGGAAGAAGAGGUAGUACCAUUUCCACUAAAACUAUUCCAAACAAAUAAAAAGGAGGGAUUCCUCCUUAACUUAUUCUAUGAGGCCAGCAUCAUCCUGAUACCGGCAGAGAUACAACAACAAAGAAAGAAAACUUCAGGCCAAUAUCCCUGAUGAAUAUUGAUGCAAAAAUCUUCAAUAAAAUACUGGCAAACCAAGUCCAGCAGCACAUCAAAAAGCUUAUUCACUAUGGUCAAGUUGGCUUCAUCCCUGGGAUGCAAGGUUAGCUCAGCACACACAAAUCAAUAAAUGAAAUUCAUCACAUUAACAGAGCUAAAGACAAAAAAUACAUGAUCAUCUCAGUAUACACAGAAAAGGCAUUCAAUAAAACUCAACAUUCCUUCGUGUUUAAAACUCUCAAUAAACUAGGUAUUGAAGGAACAUACCUUAAAAUAAUAAGGGCCAUAUAUGACAAACCCACAGCCAAUAUCAUACUGAAUGGGGAAAAUCUGGAAGCAUUCCCCUUGAAAACUGGCAGAAGACAAAGAUGUCCUCUCUCACCACUCUUAUUCAACAUAAUAUUGGAAGUUCUGGCCAGAGCAAUCAGGGAAGAGAAAGAAAGAAAGCGUAUUCAAAUAGGAAGAGAGGAAAUCAAAUUAUCUGUAUUUGCAGAUGGCAUGAUCUUAUAUCUAGAAAACCCCAUCUUCUCAGCACCAAAGCUUCUUAAGCUGAGAAGCAACUUCGGCAAAGUCUGAGGAUACAAAAAUCAGUGUGCAAAAAUCACUAGCAUUCAUAUAUACCAACAAUAGGCAAGCAGAGAGCCAAAUCAUGAAUAAACUCUUACUCACAAUGGCUACAAAUAAAAUAAAAUUCCUAGGAAUACAGAUUAUGUGGGAAGUGAAGGACAUCUUCAAGGAGAACUACAAACCACUGCCCCCAAAAUUAAAGAGGACUCAAACAAAUGGGAAAACAUUCCAAACUCAUGGUUAGAAUCAAUAUCAUGAAAAUAGCCAUAUUGUCCAAAGUAAUUUAUAGAUUCAAUGCUAUUCCCAAUAAACUACCAUGGAGAUUCCAUAGAAUUAGAAAAAACUAUUUUAAAAUUGAUAUGGAACCAAAAGAGAGCCUGUAUAGUCAAGAUAAUCCUGAGCAAAAAGAACAAAGCUGGAGGCAUCGUGCUACCUAACUUCCAACUAUACUACAAAGCUACAGUAACCAAAACAGCAUGGUAAUGGUACCAAAGCCAACACAUGGACCAAUGGAACAGAAUAGAGAACUCAGAAAUGAGACCGCACACCUGCAACCAUCUGUUCUUCCACAAACCUGACAAAAACAAGCAAUGGGAAAAGAAUUCCCUAUUUAAUAAAUGGUGCUGGGAAAACUGGCUAGUCAUAUGCAGAAAACUGAAAAUUGACCCCUUCUUACCCCUUAUACAAAAAUGAACUCAAGAUGGAUCAAGACUUAAAUGUAAAACCCAAAACUGUAAAAACCCUAGAAGAAAAUCUAGGCAACACUAUUCAAAACAUAGGCACAAGCAAAGAUUUCAUGAAGAAAACACCAAAAGUAAUCGCAAUAUAAGCAAAAAUUGACAAACAAGAUCUAAUAACUAAAGGGCUUCUGCACAGCAAAAGAAACUGUCAUCAGGGUGAACAGACAAUCUACAGAAUGGGGGAAAAGUUUUGCAAUCUAUCCAUCUGACAAAGAUUUAAUAUCCAGAGUCUACAAGGGACUUAAACAAAUUUACAAGAAUAAAACAAUCAACCCCAUUAAAAAGUGGGUAAAAGGCAUGAACAGACACUUCUCAAAAGAAGACAUUCAUGUGGCCAUAAACAUAUGAAAAAAAGCUCAAUAUCACUGAUCAUUAGAUAAAUGCAAAUCAAAACCACAAUGAGAUACCAUCAGUCAUAAUGGUGAUUGUUAAAAAGUCAAGAAGGCCAUGUUGGAAGUGUAAACUAGUUCACCCAUUGUGGAAGACAGUGUGGCGAUUCCUCAAAGACCUAGAGGCAGAACUAUCAUUUGACCCAGCAGUCUCAUUACUGGGUAUAUACCCAAAGGAAUAUGAAUCAUUCCAUUAUAAAGAUACAUGUACAUGUAUGUUCACUGAAGCACUAUUCACAAUAGCAGAGACAUGGAAUCAACUCAAAUGGCCAUUAAUGAUAGAUUGGAUAAAGAAAAUGUGGUACAUUUAUACCAUGAAUAUUAUGCAGCCAUAAAAACAAAAAAACAAAAAACAAGAUUAUGUCCUUUGCAGGGACGUGGAUUGAGCUGGAAGCCAUUAUCCUCAGUAAACAAAUGCAGGAGCAGAAAACCAAACACCGCAUGUUCUCAGUUAUUAGUGGGAGCUGAAUGAUGAGAAGACAUGGACACAUUGACGGGAGCAACACACACUGGUGCCUGUCAGGGGCCCUGGGAAGGGAGAGCAUCAGGAAGAAUAGCUAAUGGAUGCUGGCCUUAAUACUUAGGUGAUGGGUUGAUCUGUGCAGCAAACCACCAUGGCACACGUUUACUUAUGUAACAAACCUGCACAUCCUACACAUGUACCCUGGAACUUAAAAGUUGAACAAAACAAAACAAAACAAAAAUAAAUGUGUUAAUUCAUGUGAAGGACUUAGAACAGUGCCUUAUGAUUCAUUAAAUCAACUUUCAUUAUAUCAAACCACCUCAUAGUUUGGCUUACAUUCUAUUUUCUUGGAUAGUGUCCAUUAAGAAAGUUAAUACUACCCAUAACAUUUUUAGUUUAUCUAUGGUAAAUGCUGCAGGUAACAUGCUGCAUUCACUUCUGCCCCAGAAGACUUGCUUGUCUCCUUUCUGUGAUUGGAACAUAAUUAAAUAAUUGUAAUACUUUCCCCAUCUUCACUUGAAGCUGGUGUUGGAAUGGCCUAAACAUGCUGUAUCUUGAAGAGGAUAGAUAUGACAUAAACAAUAUAUUUGGGGUCAAGGUGACUGAAACCUGGUAAGCCCAAAGAAAGUCUGGAGUUGCAUAUCCAAGCAUACUAAGAAUCCGCAGGAGAAAGAUUAAGAUUUCUGGAAAACAUCCCUAAGAACAAACACUUUGACCUGUAAUGAAGUUCUUAGAAUCACUUCUCCAGCUUCUCCUAUAAAUGUCUAUCUCAACCAUUUUUAAGUGCAGAUUUCUAAAAUGGUGAGUAGAAGGAGCUAAAGUGGGAGACAAGUGAAAUUAUCUUCAAUUGUGGAUGUGGAUUUUUAUCAGAAAAUCUUGGUGAAAGCUUCUGCUCUUGGAAGUUGGUCUCGAGAUGUUUAAUUUGUUUCCUACAAUUAUUAAGUUCCUUAAGAUUUUCCAAGCUAGAUUGAUUUCUUUCAUUUUUACUUUGAUGACUCCAGGGAUGCCAUACUAUGAAGAAGUAACCCCAAUAAUGGUACUAUAUUUUUUAAAAUGAAAUUAACUAAUGUACGUGAAAGGGCAUGUCAGACUCUAAAAUCUACACUGAAAAUUAUGCCUUGUUUUUCAGUCAUCCACCCUUUGUAAAGCCACCACUCUCUUUCAAGAUAUGCUAAGUGAGGGACUUUGCCUGUGUUAGUUCUCAUCCAUAUGCUCAAACUUGCAAAAUAGGAAUAAUAAUACUGCUUUUCAGAUGAGGAAGCUGAGACUCAGAGAGGUUAAAACAACUUACCCCAGACUUAAUUGCAAUUUAUUUUAUAAUGAUUAAGGGAUAUUCUUUUUAUACACAUUGUAUGAAAAUGACUGCUAUUGGAUUACUUAUUUUUCACCACGUUUGCCAAAACACAUUUUCUUAAUAUGGUCAUUUCAAAAAGUACAGUGAAAUUCUCAAAUAGCUUAAAAAAUUAAUUUCCCAACUCCUUUCCAUUUUCUUUCUGCUUAAUCUAGCUGGGCAAGUAGAAUCUUCAGACUCACCAGUUAUUCCUACUCUGUCCAACUGCUUGGCUAUCACUUAACACAAGCUCUUUCCGGAGCUCCAGCUGGAUUCCUUGCAGAAUUUGGGGCUUAUUUCUAUCUGGCAGCCUCGACCAUAAAACUGAGAAACACUUUUAUUCUUCUCUUAAUGAAUGGAAAAUUUCCUUUAUUUUUAAACUCAACAUAACUCCCAGAUAUCUACCAGGCUUUGUAAAUUUUUAACUUAGAUAAUACACAAUGCCCAGUAAGUACCUUGAAAUGUUAAGUAUCGGCCAGACUCGAUGAAAUAACUACAGACACAUCAUGAUGUUGCUCAUUUUUCUGUAAUGAUUGUGCCUCAUAAGACCAAAGGGUAGUCUGAAGUUGUGAACUGUCUUCAGGGCAGAACUGAUCUAUAGAAGGAGAAAAUCAAAUAUGAUAUGGUCAUAUUAGGGAUGCUGGGGACAGUUGUGAGUGCUAUUCAGAAUUCUGAGAGCUAGUUACAUCUUUUAAAACCUAUGCCACAGAAGUAUAAUUUUCCCAUGUCUUUUAUAAACAUUGGAAAUACCAUAUGAUGGCUUUUAAUCCAUAGGAGGGCAAUGUUGAGCUUCAGGAAAAUCCUUCCAGAUUUUUUUUUUCAAAAGAACGUAUAGAACUGAUUAAUUUAAAAAUUAAUGAAUUGAAACAAAUUAACUAAUUUAAAUAUAUUACAAGAUGACAGUUAUUUAAUAAUAUCCCAUGUCACAUACUGACUGGCUUCAUGUUUGUCAUACUGAUAGUUAAUUUGUAAACUGAUGUAAAUUAUCCUUGUCACUUGAAGCCAAACCACUGCUGUCUCAUUUGAGGAGGCUGCAUUCUUGUCUGUGCAGCUUUUCUUUAUGUUGGAUGUUGGACAAGCUUAAAUUAUUUACAAAUAGACUAGUACUCUGAUAUUUUUAUGCAUGAUUUGCUGAUGAUAGCGCUGCUUAAAAAGAUAAGAAUUCCUACAGUUCAGAUUUCUCAUCUUCUGUGACACCUCUCUUUGGAUCAGAAUUUGAGGUGGCCCUUGGCCAAAUGCCAUCAUGAAGCUCUUAAAGCCAAAUGCCAUCAUGAAGCUCUUAAAGAGUUAACUAAAUGUUAUGUUUAAAGCGAGUUAUUUAUUUAUUUAUUUUUAUUUUUGCCCAGGCUGGAGUGCAAUGGCACAAUCUCAGCUCAUUGCAACCUCUGCCUCCCAGGUUCAAGAGAUUCUCCUGCCUCAGCCUCUUGAGUAGCUGGGAUUACAGGCACACGCCACCACACACGGCUAAUUUUUGUAUUUUUAGUAGAGACAGGGUUUCACCAUGUUGGUCAGGCUGUUCUCGAACUCCAGACCUCGUGAUCCACCUGCCUUGGCCUCCCAAAGUGCUGGAAUUAUAGGCAUGAGCCACCGUGCCCAGCCUUAAAGCGAGUUAUUAACAUUAAGAACAAGACAAAACUAAAUUUCAGCCCAAUUGUAAGAUAUCAAAGUGGUUCAUAUGUCAGAAUUGUUUCUAUAAAAGGAAUCAUGGACCAAUAUAGCACACUGUCAUUUUAACCUGUAUCUGAAGGAAGUCUAUUUUGAAUAAUUGAAGCAAGUAUUAUAAUUUAAAUAUAAUUAUGUGUUUUGUGGGAAAGUAGCAAAUUCUGUAGUGUUGUGAAGACAUCAGAAUUUCCUAGAUUGAAAAAGUAAUUUGUCCUUCCUCUGAACUUAUAUAUCUCCAUUUACUAGAACAUAGUGAUAAAUGUUUGUUUGUUGCUGUGCUAAGGCACAUUCUAGCCAUAGGAGCAUGAUGUAUCUCAUCUCAGGGUUGUUCCUGAGUCUAAAGAACCAGUUAACGACUGGGUCAGUAACAAUAAUAGCUAAUGUUUACUAGAUGCUUACUAUAUGCCAAACACUAUAAUCUAAAUAUUGUUAUUGGUUUAUUUAAAACUUCACAACAAUAGCAUAAAUUCUAUUGUUAACAUAAUUUUCUAUAUGACGAAAUGCACUUCAGAGUUAGUUUAAGUUUAAAUAAUGUGUGGUGGGGCAUGGUGGCUCACGCCUGUAAUCCCAGCACUUUGGGAGGCUGAGGCGGGUGGAUCACGAGGUCAGGAGAUCGAGACCAUCCUGGCUAACACAGUGAAACCCCGUCUCUACUAAAAAUACAAAAAAUUAGCCGGGUGUGGUGGUGGGCGCCUGUAGUCCCAGCUACUCGGGAGGCUGAGGCAGGAGCAUGGCGUGAACCCAGGAGGCGGAGCUUGCAGUAAGCAGAGAUCGCCCACUGCACUCCAGCCUGGGUGACAGAGGGAGAGUCCGUCUCAAAAUAAUAAUAUAAUAAUAAUAAUAAUAAUAAUAAUAAUAAUAAUAAUAAUAAUGUGUUUGAGCUCACAAAACUUCCUAAGAGACAGAACCAGGCACACUCCAGGGGACUUGCUUCUCAUCACCACUUCUAGGUUAAAAGUGGAGUGCAUCAAAGACUAGGAUAGCUGAUGCACAAUGUUGAAUAUUUACUCAGUAUCUUUUGUUUAAUGUGAUGCUUCUGGGUGGAUGGGAAUUGUUAAGAGCACCAAUGAUAAACAUCAUUAUAGAAUUUACUAUUUAAAUCUACCUGCAUGCCUUAACAUUUGUGAUGCCAAGUUUUUGUUUUUGAAAUAAGAUAAUAGUGUAAUAAAUGAUUUAUAAUCUCAUGAAGGAUGGAAAUUAUAUCUUACAAUUCUCUGUAUGUUCCAUCAUAUACAAUCCAAUAGCAUAAAUAUGUGACAGAUUUGGAAAAUAAUUGAUGACUGAAACAUUUAUGUAUGGCAAAGGGGCGGGUAACUGUAAAGUCAAAUGCAGAAACUACUGACAUACAAUCUUUAGUCCAUAGUUUAGGUCUGAGUAAUAUCUAUAGGGAAUAUAUUCUGCUUAUUUACAACCAAGAAGAAUGGCUUGGGUCUGAACUUCUGAUGAAUCACUUCAACCUUAUCAGAAAGAGUGGAUGUUAGAUAAAUGGUCAGCAGUUUUGUUUUUCUUUCUAGUUACUUGCUUUAAAAAAGAUCUAACUUUUCAUUUGGAACUUUAUAAUGAUAAUGGUAAUUUAAAUCCCAUGUAAUUUUCUAAAUGGACAUUGUUAACAUAUCUGCAGAGAGCUCUAUUUGACAAGGUGAUUUUAAUUUAAAAACUCUUACCUAGAAGCAAGUAGCACUUAUAUGAUUUUUGUAAAUUUUAGUCCAACACUGAAUGCUCACCUUAGAAAGUAUAUAUAUUUAAUAAUCUUAUGACAUCUAGAACUCUGCAUCAAACAACAUUUUUAAAGAAAUUUUAUGCAGAGGUUAGUAUAUAGUAAAACAAAGAAGCCUUUCACUGGAAAAAGUAUUAGUUGCAACUUAAAAGUGUGUGUGUGUAUUUAUGCGUGAUAUUGUAAAGGAAAAUAAAUGUAGAAUCAAACACAAAGUAAGGGAUAUUGAUUUUAAAGAAAGGGGAAAUGUAAAGAAUGAAAAAAUUUCUGAGACUAAUCAGGAAAGGGAAAGGGAAGGAGGACAGGGUGGAUUAAAAAAUUUGCACAGUAAUUUCCCCAUUUUCUUGUCCAUUCUUGGUCCAUUAAUAAAGGAUUCUAAUUGAAUAUGUGCAGCAAUAGAGCCUAUGUAUCAUUUCAAUGACUCUGCAGUUGUGUGAGUACACAGCGGAGUUAAUGCCAUCAAUGAACUGGCCCUGCAAUACAUUAGGAGGUAGGGGUAGGUUUCACAUCCCAUCCCCUUCCACUCAGCUAUUGGCACCCUAUUUCCUUGAGUACCUCCCGUCUUCAGAUUUCUUUCCAGGACAUGGAGAAAUAUGAAAAAAGACCAACAUUUGAGAAAAAGAGAUAGUCAGAGGAAGAAGAUAAUUGGAUGAAGAAGGAAAGAUGGUGGGUCAUCUUUCAAAGGUUAUUAGAUUGAAAUUUGAAUUUGGUACAUGAGGAUGGCUGUGGAAUUGCUUCUCAGCCUUUGGGCUAACAUCAAGUGGAUAACGGCUGUGGAUUCAAAAGUAUAUAUAAUACUAAGCCUGUAACAUAAUUUCCAUUCAUGGCCUCCACACUCUAUAUGUGUUUAUACUAAUUAAUGCCUUUGAGUGGAGCCAUUUUCAUCAUCCAAUUGGUUCCCAGAGGCAUAAACUGAAACUAACUUUUCUAGGUAGAAAUCAGAUUUGAUGAGAUGCAGGACUACUCAGUUUCUCAUUCAGAUUUGAUGAGAUGCAGGACUACUCAAAGCUGAAGGGAUAAGUCCAACUGAAGGGCUAAGAGUAACAAACAUAAUUUCAUAUGUUUACUUUUUACUGAUUUUAGUCUUAUUUCUUAUAACUCAGAAUCUCAGUGAUUUUCAAAUCUAAGUAAAAAAACCACCCAUGUCAAUAUGAUCACAAAAAAUUUCACAAGAGUGAGGGCUCCUGUCAUGUCUUUAUGAAGAAAACUUCUUUGAUUGACAUACCUGCACUCUGAGGUCAGGAAAAGUUCCUAGGAGGUUAUUCAGAAAGUGAAAGACUUGAAUCUUGGCUUAGCUAUGUCUCAGUUAAGGAAUAAGAACAUUUUUUAAAGUAGCUACAAUAUUUUUAAAAUUGAAAUAAAAUGUUUAUUUUAGAAUAGUUUUAUAAUUACUGAAAACUUUCAAAGAAAGUACAGAGAAUUCCCAUACACACCACAAUCAGUUUCCCUCAUUAACAUCUGGCAUUAUUACUAUAGCAUAUGGUCACAACUCAUGAACCAGUAUUGCUAUAUUGCUUAUUAACUGAACUUUAUUUAAAUUGUAUUAGCUUUUCUCUAAUGGGCUUUUUCUGUUUCCAGAUCCUGUCUAGGACAGUAGAUUACAUUUAGCUGUUGUGUCUCCUUAGGCUCCUCUGGGCUAUGCCCCCUUUUCAGGCUUUCCUUGCUUAUUCAUGACCUUUACACUUUGGGGGGCUACUGGCCAGGUAUUUUGUACAAUGUUCCUCAAUUCGGUUUUGUCUGAUGUUUUCCUCAGGUAGGUGGGUGUAUUAGUCCAUUUUCAUGCUGUUGAUAAAGACAUCCCUGAGACUGGGAAGAAAAAGAGUUUUAAUGGACUUACAAUUCCACAUGGCUGGGGAGGCCUCGCAAUCAUGACAGAAGGCAAGGAAGAGCAAGUCACAUCUUUUGUGGAUGGCUGCAGGCAAAGAGAGAGCUUGAGCAGGGAAACUCCUAUUUUUAAAACCAUCAGAUCUCAUGAGACUCAUUCACUAUCAUGGGAACAGUGCAGGAAAGACCGGCUCCCAUAAUUCAGUCACCUCCUACUUGGUUCCUCCCAUGACACAUGGGAACUGUGGAAGUUACAAUUCAAGAUGAGAUUUGGGUGGGGACACAGCCAAACCAUAUCAGUGGGUUAUGGUUUGGGGAAGAAAACCACAGAAAUUUUGUGCCACUCUCAACAUUAUAUAUUAAUCUACAUGACUUGUCACUGAUGAUUUUAAAAUUGGUCACCUGGAAAACAUAGUGUUUCCUGGGCUUCUCCACUGUGAAAUUAACUGUUCCUACCACUUGCCUCUCCCUACUGUGCUAUUUGGAAAUGAAUCACUAAGCCCACACUUAAGGGAUGGGGAGUUAAGUUUCACCUCCUCAGGUAGAGAGUAGUGCCUAAACAAAUGAUUUAAAUUUUUUCUGUUGAGGAAAUCUGUCUUUUAUUUCCAACUUAUUUAUUUUUUCAAUAAUUUAUUUUUAUCAAUAUAGGCCCAUGGAUAUUUGUUUUAUAUUUAGAAAUAUAAUGAAGUAAUAUGUUAUUUUAUUUUAUUCUAUUUUUUGCUCCAAUUGUUCCAAAUUUGGCUAUUCAGAGCUCUUUCAAUUGGCUCCUGUGUCCUUUUGACAUAUUACCAUUGUUUUGUCUUCUGCACGUUUUCUUACUUUCUGAUACUACAAGAUGAUCUGCAUCCUGCACCAGCCCUAGAAUCAGUCAUUUCUUCAAAGAGAAAUUGGAGCAUGGUGUGGGAGACCAUGAUCCUGGCACAAGGUAUACAAUUAUUUUAAAAUAAUUACUUUUUGCUUGUAUGUGGCUGAUUAUUUUCUUUUGGACAUUUUUGGAGAGACUUUCAUUCAAAUUUAUAUCUGCCUCAAACUACAUACCCAUAAUCCAGGUGGAAAGGCUCUAAUCUUAGUCAUUUGGCAGCCAGGAAGAUGGAGGCCUCUUUGCAACAUCUGUUCCUGUGGUAACAGCAGCUAGGACUAAAUAGCACAUUGGCUUUUAAAGUCCUUUUAUUGGGAAGUGACACUUCUCCUCCUGGUGGCCAUGUUUCACUUCAAAGUGAGUGAGGCUGUGCUAUCCUACCAGGUACCAGGGAAGAUGAAAAGAUAGAUGUAUUUAACCAAAAUCAUGAAUAUCUACUGCAAUAGUUUUUGUCACAAUUUUUCCCAGUGGAAAUAUAAUGAAAUUGAUAUUUAUGUUAUUUCAAAUUAUCUAGUAUCCACAUUAGGGAAGCACAAAGAAGUAGGUUAAAUUAGUAUUCAUUAUAUAUUUUAUUUAACCCAAUUAUACCCAAAAUAUUAUCAUUUUAACAUAUAAUCAGUGUAAAUUAUUAGUAAGAUUUUUUCAUUCUAUGUCUUUGAAAUUGGUUGUGUAUUUUACACUUCAAGUACAUCCUCGUGUGAACCAGUCAUAUUUCAAGUAUUUCAUAGAUACAUGUGACUAGAGGUUGCCAUUCUGAACAGCGUGUGUAAAGACAGUGUCUGCCACAUAGUAGGCAUUUGACAUUAUGUGUCAAAUGUUAAAUAACUGUAAACCAUAAAUGUUUUUAAAACAGUUGAACUCCUUUAUCGUACUAAUACUGCUUGGAUCAUGUUUUGUUUCUUCUCUAAUUCUUUCCUCCUGUGUAUUUCUCCCACUUCUUUAGAUCUAACCUAAAUUUCAGAGAUAUUUGUGAAAAUUAGAUUUCAAAACUUCCUCAGAAAACCAUUACAAGUGUCUUAUUUUGUCAUAUAUUUAUCUGUUUGCUGAAGGUGUCUAGUUUUAUAUCUACAUCUAAAAUUUCUUGCUAUAUUCACUGUACAACAUUUUUGCAUAUUUAGGGACCACAGGGCUUUUCAGCAUUAUGCCAAAUUUAAGCUGAAUUUAUGAAAUUGAUGCUAAAAUGUUAGGAUUAAAUUCAAAGGUAAUAUCCAGGAGAGUAUAAAAUGCUCAAUUGUAGCUCUAAGGGCAGGAGUUAUGUCUACAACUGCUCAAUAAAGCUCUGUAAUGUAAAAUAGCUCUCUAUUGCCAUGACUUCCACACUUUUAUCUAGCAUUUCCCAAAAUGUGAACAAUCUGCCUGUUUGGUAUACCUGUUUAUUUGAGAAAGUUGGAUACAUCAUAAAGAAACAUAAACAUGCUAAAUAAAAAAUCAAUUUUCUCAAAAGCUAUGGGCCACAAAUAAGAGAUACACUUGCUAAAAAAAAAAAUUAUCUAUGCUCAUUUACCAUGUUCAGCAGCAUCUUGUAACACCAGACUGGCAGUCUAGCAAUUUGAUAAAUAAAAAUCUUCUUUAUGGGAAAAGGGUUUAACUUAAUAUGGUGCUGUCUUUGUUUCUGAGUUGUGAUGAAAAAAUAAAGGGCCAGUGGUUUGGCAAGUCAUUUCUUAUUUGUUAUACUCUUAAGUGUUAUUUACAUAAGAAGGUUUAUUUUAAUGUGGUGCUGACUUUAUUCUGAGUUAUGAUAUUAAACACCUGUAAUCAGGGAAAAAUAAUAUUAGUUUCGGACAGCCACAGGAAUGUAGAUGACGCUCCUCCAACUACAGGGAGUGUAAUUGCUAAGAGGCCUCGGCUGCUUCGUACUCUUUUGCAGUCACCCCAUGCUUCCCACGAGCUGUUCAUCCAAUGAUUGAGCAUGGCAGGGAUGGAUACUGAAGUAGAAAGAUUUGUGGGAGUCACAAGACACUUCUGGUAGCCUGUUUUGGCUUGAGGACCCCUGAACUCUUUCCCAAACUUUCCUUCCACGCAACCUCUCUCAUCUUCUUUUUUCCACUUGGAGUUAGACUUGUUUGUACUUGGACAGUUCUCCCAGGCUUGUCUGGUCCCUUCCCUAUUUUGUCUCACAUGGAUGUUUCCUUGAAUAAAAUCCUUAUAUAUAUAUUUUACCCACUCUCAACACCUGCUUCUUGGAGGACCUGAGCUAAUAUAAGUGAUUUGCAAUCCCUUGGCUUUUUUUUAUUUUUGAAUGAGAGAGUUAUAAUUAUCAGAGCAGGGUGUGGAGCAGUGUGAGGAGGGUGCGCUGUGGGUGCUGGUGGCCUCAGCCUGGUGCAGGGAGCUGGAGACAGAGCAGGGUGAGAAGAGCACUAAGAGAGGAGGGCAGUGGUGUUUGCAAUGGUUCGGCAUGUCAGAAGAGGGACAUUGGGGAAGAGGGACAGUGGUGACAAUGGUAGAUUCAUAGCAUUUGGGAGGAUUGAAACAAAAAAUUAAUUUAGGAUAAUGACAGCUGUAAUUCUCACUCUCAGUGGUGGAACUUACAACUAUGGAAAGGGAAAGUAUUAUAUAAAACUUGAGGCCAAGCGUGGUGGCUCACGCCUGUAAUCCCAGCACUUUGGGAGGCCAAGGCCGGCGGAUCACCUGACGUCAGGACUUUCAUCAUGGCCAACAUGAUGAAACCCUGUCUCUACUAAAAUUACAAAAAUUAGCCGGGCAUGGUGGUGGGCGCCUGUAAUUCCAGCUACUCGGGAGACUGAGGCAGAAGAAUUUCUUGAACCCAGGAGGCGGAGUUUGCAGUGAGCAGAGAUUGCACCACUGCACUCCAGCCUGGGCAGAAGAGCAAGACUCCAUCUCAAAAAAAAAAAAAAAAACAAAAAAACCCGAAAACAAAAAAACCUGUGGUAUUGGAUUUGAGUUGUAUCUAAACUGGCAGUUUUCAAUGUGGAAAUGUGGUUAAAAAUGUGUGUACAUUUACAAUACAUAUUCCCCAACACUGUCUGAGAAUAACAAUUCUUAAAUAAUAAUGAGCAUGCCUAACAUGCAGAUGCUGGUUUCUCUCCAACAUUCUUCGUUAAAGGAACUAGGGCUCCUUGAGGAAAUAAAUGGCUGCUUCCAGAACUGGAGAAGGGAAAGCAGCUUGGACCAUUAUUUUGCAUCAGAAAGUAUGGAGAUAUCAAAGAAUGAUAGGGUCAUGUUGUAAUGCCAAAGGUUCUCGCCUUAGCCAUGCCAAAGAUUUGGUGUGGCGGCAGCCCGCGGUGAGAGAGAGACACAGAUCGGACCGAGAGAAAAAAAGCUGUAGGCUUUAUUGAGCGGAGUGACAGUACAAAGCUUCCACAGAGUGGAAGGGGUCCUGAGCAGGUAACCAGUGUUAGAUUUUUCUAUCACCUUUUAUUUAAGGUGGGAAAUACGUGCAGUGGGAAGAUGCUACCAGAGCGAGAAACAAAGACAAUUAACACGUCUCAGAUCUUGAGGAAAACCAGAAUUGUAACUCAAGUUUUAUCUACUUUAUGACCUUGCAGCGGCAUGGCAAAGGAGACAGGAUCUCACAGGAUUUUACAAAUUGUGUUUACAAAGAAUUGGAAUUGGGAGCGUAGAUACGGUCUGCUGGUCACAGAAAAAUGGGCUUUUAGCAGUCCUUUUAGUUUCAGAGGAGGGGGAAGGGAGAGAGGGAGAGAGGACACAGGGAAGCUUGCAGCAAAAUUUUUCCUGUUUAUAGCUUUCUUGCGGAAGAAAACACAUGCACAAAUUCUGAUGUUAGGAAUAUUUUAAGCACUUAUCUUCAAUAUUACUCAUUCAGGACCAAAGUUAAGUCCUGAUGUAGGAAAUGAGUGAGUUUCACAGCUUUCUGAGCCCCUACUAAACCCAGGAAGCCCACUGGCACCUCCUCUCAAUGUCAAAAGGACACAAAAGCCAGCUUGAAGAGAUUCCCACUGACCAAAUUUGGGACAAUUUCAUGAACGAUUCAUAAUAAUAAAUUUUAAUCAAUGAAAUAAAAUAAUCCAUCUGUCUAUACUAGCAUAAAGAAAGAAACAAAGAAGAGAUAGUGUUCCUUCAUAUAAUGUCAACAAAUGUGGAAGAAUAAUAGAAGCAGGAAAAUCACAAUUGGAUAGCAAUUGUAACAAUAAUAAAUUCAGCCAAGAAAUAUCAGGGGAUGCUAAAACUGGGUGCAGAUUUAAAGAGGAACAAAAUAUUUACACGUCUCUAAGUAUUUCCUCACAAAAUACUUACUGAUAAUGGACAAAAGAACAACCACUGAGUAAAACUUCCUGGCAGGUACCCUCUUGAAUCAAAUGAUCAAAGUUAAGAACUCCAAUAAUGGGAAAAUUCAAAGUCAUGGGUGUCUUAAUAGAAUUAUGAGAACAUAGCAUCAUUACCGGGGGUCCUUUCUCACACAGCUUCCAAGAUGGCGGCGGACUGCUUCCAAGAUGGUGACAAGCCUCGUGUUCUCUGACCUGGGGUUCUUGGCCUCACAGAUUCCAAGGAAUGGAAUCUUGGGCCAUGCGGUGAGUGUUAUAGCUCUUUUAGAAGCCGUGGGUCACGGAAGAGAACCGUGGAACCCAGUGACUAGUGUUCAGCUCGAUUAGGACGAACCCAGGCACUUAGCCAUGCAGGAACAAUGGCGAGCCUAAUUUAGCCCGAUCCGGAAUGGCAGUGGGCGCCUUGCUGGAUCAGGAGCACAGGGGACACCCUGCCGGAUGCGGAAGAAUGGAAGUCAGUGGCGGGUCUGCCAAGGCCGCAAAACAGCAGUGGUGGAGGGCGAGCGAAAGCUCAGCUCCAGCCGUAACAAACAUGGACCAGAAGAGUGCAGUUGCAAGAUUUAAUAGAGUGAAAACAGAGCUCCCAUACAAGGGGAGGGGACCCAAAGGGGGUUGCCAUUGCCGGCUGGACUGCCUGGGUUUAUAUCCCAAUCCUUGUCCCUCCUGCUGUGCUCUCAGGCAAUAGAUGAUUGGCUAUUUCUUUACCUCCUGUUUUUGCCUAAUUAACAUUUUAGUGAGCUCUCUGAUUGGUUGGGUGUGAGCUAAGUUGCAAGCCCCGUGUUUAAAGGUGGAUGAGGUCACCUUCCCAGCUAGGCUUAGGGAUUCUUAGUCGGCCUAGGAAAUCCAGCUAGUCCUGUCUCUCAGUAUCUUUUUGUGAAAUUGCUCCCCAAGAUGUCUAACCUUGCUCUCCUCAUGAGCCAACAUCAGAAAAAUCCCAAACGGAGGUGCAUGAAAAAAUACAUAGAAUGGCUUAGAUCCCAGUUGUAAUUUUCUUCAGAUGAAACAGCCUGAAAGAAUACUGAAAAUAGAAGAUAGUUGUAAUGGAAAUUUACUCAAGAACCUGACUUUCUCAUUUGCUAUGAAAAAAAGAGCAAGUGCGUAUGUCAGAUUAGAUUCAAUAUGUCGGAGCUGAUAGAUUUUCCCCAUGGUAGUGUUUGCAGCUGUCCAGAGAUUCUUGUUUCUUCCUCAGUCAAGAAGUUAAUAUCUGAGAUUCUUGCAUAUUUAUAGAAAAUAUUCAAACUCUAUCUGAAUAAGCCUUCUGGGUUUAAAUUUAAAUGAUUAAAAUUUAUUUAGAAUUGAUUUAUGUAACAGAAAUAUAUUUUUCAUUAUUUUUACUUUUUUUUGCUAUUUUUAAUACUAAACACCAUAGGUAACAGAUUUAAAGACAAUCAGAAAAGACAGUCUUCAAAGUCUUAUGAAUAAGCCUCCCUACUACUUGUCAUGGGCAUGUAUUUAAAAAGGGCCAGAAAAAUAAGAAAAGAGGGACCAGAAGCAGAAACAAGAGAAGAGCAAAGGGAAACAAGAUAAGAGGGAGAAGAACAGGAGGGGAAGAGGCAGAGGAGGAGGAGGAAGAGGAAAAGGAGAAGAUGGAGAGAGAGAGGAAGAAGCAAAGAGAGAGGAGGUGAGGGAGGAAAGAGGAAGUGAAGGAGGAGCGAGAAGGAGGGGGUGAAGAAGGAGAGAGAGAAGAGAUAGGAGGAGAGGGAGGAAAGAGAAGGAGAGAGAUGGAGAAAAUAGAUGAGGAGAGGGGAGGAGGAGAGGGAAAAGAAAUAUAAGGAGGCGGGGAGAGAACGGAAGAGGUGAAGGAACAGAGGGAGAAGAGAGGAGGGGAGAGAGGAGAUAGGAGGAGAGGGAGGAAAGAGAAGGAGAGAGAUGGAGAAAAUAGAUGAGGAGAGGGAGGAGGAGAGGGAAAAGAAAUAUAAGGAGGCGGGGAGAGAAAGGAAGAGGUGAAGGAACAGAGGGAGAAGAGAGGAGGGGAGAGAGGAGAGAGAGGAGGAGGGAAAGGAGGAGACAGAGGAGACAGGAAGAGGAGUAGAGUGAGGAUAGGGAAGGGAGGGAGAUAGAGGAGAUAAGGAAUAGAGGGAGGAAGAAGAAAGGGAGGAGAGGAAGGAGGAGGAAUAAAACACAUUUAUUCACCGUUCUUCAUGUGCAAGAAUGAAACUGACAUUUAUUAGCUUCAUAUCAUGUGCCAGGCACUAUUCUAGAUGCUGUUAUUAUUGUUUAGCAAGUGAGAAAACGGCUGAAGGUAAUUUUAUAUUUUGUUCAACAGUUAGUUAGAUGGUGUAUCCAGAUAAGAACUGAGACCUGUCCUCUCAAGCUCAAGCUUUGUCUUAAGUGAUACUGGUAAAUAGUUAAAUAGCUAUGUAACUGGUGAAAUUCAGGAUGGAAAUGCCCACCAGAUGGCAGGAUCUAGGUGAUUCAGUGCUCUUUUUUCAAUAUAAUUUUCUUAUUUUUAGAAUUUCACCAAACUUAUCCAAAGUCUUAAAACUCAUUGACUUUAAGACAUGGCAUAUAAAAAUGUGACUGUCUUGGAAUAGCAUCAAAGUAACAUUGAUAUUUUUGAUAAUAUUCAGUUUGUUACAGUAUACUUGUGUUCCAAUGCUUCUUGAGUAAAGUAAAACAUUACCUUAAAAAUAUGAAUGUCACGCGAUGUUUAACUUCCUGUGCCUGGCUCAUUUCACUUAACAUAAUGAUCUCCAGUUCCAUCCAUAUUGUUGCAAACGACUAGAUCUCAUUCCUUUUUAGCACAUUUUGCAGACUCUAUAAAUAUAUACACCAUGUACACACAAAAAUUUUUUUAAAAAUUAAAAUUCCUCUUAAAAAUUGAAAAGAACCCUGAAUGUACUGAAAUGGUUAAUGAAUAGUGUUAGUCAAAUACAGUGCUAUAAAAAUUAUAUGACUGAAAUGUCCUCCAAGUUAUUUUUCAUUUAAAAGAUCAAGAUACUGCUGUAGAGUAAAAUGCUCAAAUAUUGACUGAAUGGUUCAGUAAGUUUUGACAAAUAUAUACAUAUAUAUACAUUCACUCAAGACACAGAGGAAUUUCAUCAAUCAAGCUCCUUCCUGGCCAAUUUAUACCACCCUUGAUGCUAGAACUAUUUGUAUUAGUGUAAGUGUUAGAUUUGCCCAUUCUAAACCUGCAUAUAAAUGGAUUAUACAGAAUGUUUGUUUCAUGAUUUCUUUCAUCCAGCAAAAUGUUUUGAUAGUCCUCCACAUUGUUGGAUAUAAAAGUAGUUUGUUCCUUUUUAUUGUGAGUAGUUUUCAUCUUAUAAAUAUAUGGUAGCAUGUUUAUCUAUUUUCCUGUUGAUGGAUAUGUAGGCUGAUUUUGGCCAUUAUGAAUAAAUCUAGUUGAACAUUC